GGCAGGCCUAACACAUGCAAGUCGAACGGAAACAUGUCUAGCUUGCUAGAUGAUGUCGAGUGGCGGACGGGUGAGUAAUGCUUGGGAACUUGCCUUUGCGAGGGGGAUAACAGUUGGAAACGACUGCUAAUACCGCAUAAUGUCUACGGACCAAACGGGGCUUCGGCUCCGGCGCAAAGAGAGGCCCAAGUGAGAUUAGCUAGUUGGUGAGGUAAAGGCUCACCAAGGCAACGAUCUCUAGCUGUUCUGAGAGGAAGAUCAGCCACACUGGGACUGAGACACGGCCCAGACUCCUACGGGAGGCAGCAGUGGGGAAUAUUGCACAAUGGGGGAAACCCUGAUGCAGCCAUGCCGCGUGUGUGAAGAAGGCCUUCGGGUUGUAAAGCACUUUCAGUUGUGAGGAAAAGUUAGUAGUUAAUACCUGCUAGCCGUGACGUUAACAACAGAAGAAGCACCGGCUAACUCCGUGCCAGCAGCCGCGGUAAUACGGAGGGUGCGAGCGUUAAUCGGAAUUACUGGGCGUAAAGCGCACGCAGGCGGUUUGUUAAGCUAGAUGUGAAAGCCCCGGGCUCAACCUGGGACGGUCAUUUAGAACUGGCAGACUAGAGUCUGGGAGAGGGGAGUGGAAUCCAGGUGUAGCGGUGAAAUGCGUAGAUAUCUGGAGGAACAUCAGUGGCGAAGGCGACUCCCUGGCCGAGACUGACGCUCAUGUGCGAAAGUGUGGGAGCGAACAGAAUAGAUACCCUGGUAGUCACACGUAACGCUGUCUCUAGCUGUGGUACUUAAGUCUAGACC
rnacentral:rRNA from 1 species